rnacentral:rRNA from 1 species
AACGUAGGACGCAAGCGUUAUCCGGAGUUACUGGGCGUAAAGCGCGUGCAGGCGGUUGGUCAAGUCUGAUGUGAAAUCUCCUCGCUCAACGGGGAGCAGCCAUUGGAAACUGGGCAACUGGAGUCUGGCAGAGGUAGGCGGAAUUCCGGGUGGAGUGGUGAAAUGCGUAGAGAUCCGGAGGAACACCAGAGGCGAAGGCGGCCUACUGGGCCAGUACUGACGCUGAGCCGCGAAAGCCAGGGGAGCGAACGGG